UUAAUUGAAACCAAAGAGAGGUAAAUUAUUGUUAAUAAUUGAAUUGAAAAAAUUUCCAAUUGAA
rnacentral:tRNA from 1 species